rnacentral:rRNA from 1 species
AGCGAACGCUGGCGGCAGGCUUAACACAUGCAAGUCGAGCGGGCGUAGCAAUACGUCAGCGGCAGACGGGUGAGUAACGCGUGGGAACAUACCUUUUGGUUCGGAACAACACAGGGAAACUUGUGCUAAUACCGGAUAAGCCCUUACGGGGAAAGAUUUAUCGCCGAAAGAUUGGCCCGCGUCUGAUUAGCUAGUUGGUGAGGUAAUGGCUCACCAAGGCGACGAUCAGUAGCGGUCUGAGAGGAUGAUCAGCCACAUUGGGACCGAGACACGGCCCAAACUCCUACGGGAGGCAGCAGUGGGGAAUAUUGGACAAUGGGCGCAAGCCUGAUCCAGCCAUGCCGCGUGAGUGAUGAAGGCCCUAGGGUUGUAAA